rnacentral:tRNA from 1 species
UCCCGGGUGGCUCAGUCGGUUGAGCAUCUGACUUCAGCUCAGGUCAUGAUCUUGUGGGCUCGUGAGUUCGAGCCCCACAUUGGGCU